UGGCUCAGUGGUUAAGAGCACUGGCUGUUCUUCCAGAGGACCUGGGUUCCAGUCCCAG
rnacentral:tRNA from 1 species